AAUUAAUCUAACCGUAAGUUGCUCUGGAUAAGAGCGUCUGCUAAAUGACUCAAA
rfam:Salmo salar isolate Sally breed double haploid chromosome ssa13, whole genome shotgun sequence.